CGUCGAAUAUAUCUGAAAUAUGUCAAAGAAAAUGCACUUUAGAGCUACUUGAUAUUUGCACUUGCAAAUCAGCCAAUCCAGGACCGCCAUUAAUUUUCCUCGACGGUGAUUGGCUGAACUCCAAAGAGUGGCGAUAAACUUUCAAGAGAAGACGUUAGCUACAUCCGGGGCGCCAAGACGGGUUUCGAGGAGGUAUAUUUGGUCUUUGAACUAUUAAAAUAGGCAGUUAUAAGCUCAGAUUUCAAAUGUUUGUGGGAUGAUUAUGGUCAGUAUGAUCAUUGAUGACGGCAGAUAAACGGUUUUUCUGCAACAGUAAAUUGUUUCUCUGCCAUUAGCACAUUUAUCAGCUGGUACAUGAGGUUGCUAAGACCUUCCUCCUGGCUCUGGUUGUUUUUGGUCGGGAAUAAUCGGGAGCAGUGCAUUUCGUCAGUCAAAGAUUACCCUACUACUACGACAUGGUGACAGUUUAACAGAUAUGUAAAAGACGUAUCGACUGUUUAUUGGUCUUCAUGAUUCUGUUUGUUCUCUAAUGUUUUCUAACAAACCUAUGAUGCCUUCACAAACCAGCUGAAUGUACAAGAAUUAAUUUUACAGACAAAAUUUCAUCCUCACUUAAUUGCUUCCCGUUUUGUCACUUUCUACGCACAAACAGCAGUGUUUUCGUUUUUCAUCACACUAAACCUGGUUUUCCUAAGUUGCUAUUUAGGAAUGUUUUGAAUGGACGGUAAAAUGUAAAGAAUUACACUUGGUAGAGGAGUACAGCCUGUGCACAUCCGUGUCUGCAGAUUUCCUUCCAUCUUCUUUUUAUUUGCAGAGGUGCCCUUCACAGUUUUAAAUUAAACACUCUAGUUUCAGGGAAAUUAUGGUCUGACCAUGUCCUAUUUCAGGAGGGUGGAAUUCAGACUGGAUCUGUCUUUGCUGUCUUUAUAGAAAAAUCUCUUCCUCCUGCCGUUUUGCAUUUAUACUAUAUGUUUUUUUAUCCAGAUCCAACUGUGAAAAUUGAGUCGACAAUGAGACACCUGCAUCAACAUUUUCCACAUUAUGCUGUUAUGUUGAAACACGGUGUGCAUCUGCUUUUUAGAGUGGAGAAAAUUGAAUAUGAUUAUGUUAUAGAUCUAUGAGAAGAUUAGAUGGAUAAUUUUUAGCCAGUCCUCACAGCAGUCAUAUAGUUUUCACUCCAUAUGAAGUACCUCUCUCUAUUGUGCACCUCAAGGUCAGUCAACUGCAACUUUCCCGGCUUUGAGUGAGAGAGAAAAAAUGGGAGAUUGUGUUCAGUAUUUUCUUUUGGUGACAAGGGGUGGCCUCCAACCCAUUGAGAGUGAUUUCAGAUAUGAAAGGAGACGUUUUGUAUCUGAAAAUGUACAUUAAACGGUGUCAACAACAUCCGAGAGGUCAGAGUAUAGAGUCCCCAUGGAGAGUGAGUCUGGCUGCUGCGCUCGAAGACCCGACAGCCCUUCCCUGAGUGGCGGCUCCGUGAUGGCUCUCAGUUUCUCUCGUCAUGUCCCUGGCAGCUUUGACACAGGGAGCAAAACAAGGACUCUGAGCUGCCACUGGGCACUGUGCUCAUUCAGGGCUUUCAGCCUUCAAGAGGACUGAAGUCCGCCUUUACGGAGUGCAUUCAUGAGAUCAGACACUGAUGUUGGAUGGAUGACCUUGCUCAAAAUCUCCUCUCUAGUCCACCCAGAAGGUGUUCCAACAGGUUGAGAUAAGGACUCUGUGCAGGCAGAGUUGACUUUCCACGAGGAUGGCAGAUGGAUGUCACGGAGGCCCCUACAAGUCUCCCGAAUUGCCCCGUAAACAACAAGCAAUAGUGAGCGAAGUUUCCCUCCGGCUUUGAAUGUGCCGCCGCCAAUUUUCCCUCGAAAGCCGCAGAAAGUCAGAUGAAGGGAAGUUUAAUUAAGUAAGAACCUGUUGAGGAAGAUUUCCAAUCAUGGUCUUCAGAAUGAGAGCAUUCAGCGUAUUCAUCUCCAGGCGAUACGCGCUCUCUUUAUCCAAGAGUGAGCUGGAGUUCUCUAGAGGGACCCCAGUUAAUUGAAUACAUUAAAGUGUAGCGCCCGGGGCUUUAUUUAUUUUUCUACUUUAGUCAGGCUUGUUUAAAGGAGACCAACUGCUGAUGUUUGGCCCCUUCUAGAGUAUAAAUGGUCUCUACACUGGGAGUGGCACGCAGGAGCAGCGGCUUGAGAAGGGAUCUGAUUUAAUCCACUGCUUCCUUUAUUCACCCAACCCCCUGAGACUGAACCUAGUUUGUAUACUUGGCAGUCAUUCAAAUGUGCAUCUUGGCCCUUAGGCCUGACUCCCAUUAUUCAUUCAUGGGACUUAAUAUGUAGAAAGCUAUGAUGGUUUUAUUUUCCCUGUUAAGCUUCUCUGCAGCUCCUGCUUCAUUCAUACAGCCUUGUAACUUUUUAUGAUAAGUUGCACAAGAUUUUCUGCAAACAUGAGCCAACUCAACUUUCAUUCAUAAAUCAGUUUUAUGGAUGUGGCAGUAUCUCAAACUUGUAGUUGGGUGGAGGGUUUGUUUUUUUCUUGUAUUUUGAAUUGUGUAGAAUUUCCAGAGACUUUUAUAUGAAUUUGUGCAAAUCAAAAUGAGUAACACUUAGGCUAAAGGAGUAAAUGUGAGUA